rfam:Triticum aestivum genome assembly, contig: Triticum_aestivum_CS42_TGACv1_scaffold_177810_2DS
AUAAUACUCCCUCCGUCCUAAAAUUCUUGUCUUAAAUUUGUCUAGAUACGGAUGUAUCUAAUACUAAAACAUGACUUGAUACAUCCGUAUUUAGACAAAUCGAAGACAAGGAUUUUGGGACGGAGGAGGUAGUAC